CAUUAGCUAUAUGAUUAAUGGAUGAUGGAACUAAUAAUAAUGGACAUGUUAAAUUUUGUACAGAUUCAUUUAUAUUAGAAGAUGUAUUAUUUUUACAAUAUUUAUUAUAUUCUAAAUAUAAUAUAGAAACAUCUUUACAUAUAGCAGGUAAUAAAAUUAAAGAAGUAUUAUAUAAUAAUUCAAAUCCUUUGGAUUUACAAAAGAAAGACACCAAGGUGUUUUAUAAUAAAGAACAAUAUAGGAUAUAUGUAAAAGCAAAUUCAAUGCCUAUUUUAAUAGAAUUAGUUGAAUCAAAUAUAAUAUCAAGUAUGAAAUAUAAAUUAGGAAAUAAAUAUAUUAAAUAAAAUAAAAAUAUAUAUUCAUAAAUAUAUAUAAGUGUAAAAUAAAGGUGAGAUAUUGAAAAAAGGUAUAUGAAAAGAAUAUUAUUUUAAGGAAAUUGAAGCUAAUAUUUAAAAUUGACAAAGAAGUUUUAAAAUAAACUAAUCAAAUCAUGAAAAUGAGAAAGAUAAAGCAAGUGGAAUGAAACAUCUGAGUAGCUUGUAAAAUAACCAACAGGGGCAUUAUAAGUAACGGUGAGUGAAAGUAAUGUAGUUAAAGAGUAUCAUCAAGAGGUGAGAAGAAAGUAGUAUCUACUACUAAAACAUUAAAUAAAUAUUAAGUAAAAGUACCGUGAGGGAAAGAUGGAAAUAGAAUAAUAAAGAGCAGUCAUAGUAUGGCGUACCUCUUGUAUAAUGGGCCAGUGAGUUAUAUAUGUAAGCGAAGUGAAAAUAAACUAAAAAUAAAUUGAGACAAUCAAUCUAAAGUUUAUGUAUAUAGGCCCGAAAGCAGACGAUUUACAUAUGUCCAAGUGUAUGAGAAAUAUAUAUAUAUAUUUCCGUAUGACUCAAUAGGUAGAUGUAGCAAUAUCUUCUAAAGAGAUGUGUGUAGUAGUGACAGACAAAUCUGGUUUGCCGAUAGCUGGUUUUCUGCGAAAUAUAUUUUAGUAUAGCCUUUAUCUAAUUCUUAACUGGUACAGCACUUAAUUCAUUUUGGGGGAUUAUAUAAUUUUAUCAAAAGAAUUUAACCUCGGAACAGUAAACUAUAUGAUAAGGAGUCAGACUUAUUGCGAUAAGGUAGUAGGUCUAAAAGGAAACAACCUAGACUAUUAAAUGUAUGUCCCAAAAGAUAUUUUAUUAAGUGAACAUAAUCUUUAUUUAUUUGAAAGACGAUUAGUCAGUGGGUUUGACAAUAACCAUCUGUUAAUGAACAUGUAACAAUGCACUAAUUUGACAAUUUUUAUAGAAAAAAUAUACGGGUCUAAAUUUAUUACAGUAUUAUAGAAAAUAAAUAUAUAUAUUUAUUUUGGUAGCAGAAUAUAUGAUGAAAAAAAAUAAAUCAUAAAGAGAUUGCUGGCUUGAGUAACGAUAGAAGGCAUGAGGCCUUCCUCUAAUUCAUAAGGUUUUAAUAUAAACUAACGGUCCCUAAGAUAUAACUUGAAAAAGUUAAUUGAUGGGAGAAAGUACAAGAAAAUAAAAAAGAACCGUACUGUAAACCGCCACAGGUAUGAAAAAUAAAAAUAAUUAAAUUAUUUGAAAGAGAAUGAGAUAACUACUAUGAAUGAACUCGGCAAAUAAGUAAAACAACUUUAAGUCGUGCGACUGUUUACCAAAAACAUAGCUUACUGCAGAUACUUAAGUAUUAGUAUAGUAAGUGAUAUCUGCCCAGUGUUAGUCUAUAUAAAAUAAAUAUAUGAAAGUAUAUUAACAAAAGGCUUAUAAACGGCGGUCUUAUUAUGAGGAUCCGAAGGUAGCGAAAUUCAUUGGCGCAUAAUUGGUGUCCCGCAUGAAUGAUUACACGAUGCGACAACUGUAUCCAUAGUAGACUCAGUGAAAUAGCAAUCGCGGUGAAGAUGCCGUGUACCCGUAGAUUGACAAAAAGACCCUAUGCAGCUUUACUAUAUCUUUAUAUUGAUUACUUUUUUUAUUUCUUUCAGUAUAUUAGGCUUUUUAUAAUAAAUCAAUUGAGAUACCUAUAUUAAUAAUUAAAGAAUCUUAUCUUUUAUUAUUUUAUUUAUAUAAAUAAUAUAUUAUAUAUUAUUAUAAAUAAAUAAGAAUUUAUAUAAAUUCUUAGAGACAGUGUAAAGAAGUUAGUUUCGAUGGGGCGUCGACAUCAGCGAAAGCAUCUGAUGUGUCUAAUUAUAAAAAAUAUAACAAAUAAAAUAAAUAUAUAAGAAAUUAUGUAUUAUAUUUUAAUAAUAGUAAAAUACGUACAAAAGAACUAUAUGGUAAAUAGGAUAAAAUGCAAGGAUAACAACAUAAUUGUGCGAUGAUAAUAACACUAACAAGUGGAAUUAGUACUUACGUAGAGUGUAAUGAACAGGCAUAAACUAAAGAUAAGGAUGUCGAUAACGGAUUAAAGUUACGCUAGGGAUAACAGGGUAAUACCGCUAGAGAGUUGAUAUCGUCAGCGGUGUUUGCCACCUCGAUGUCGUCUAGACUCGUCCUCCUGGUAGCAGCAACUAGGUAGGGUAGGACUGUUCGUCCUCUAAGGAGUUACUUGAGAUGGGUUAAUUACGACGUGAGUCAGUAAUGAUUUUAUCAUCUAUGGGAUUUUUUCUUAUUUAUUGCUUUGGGUGUACGAAAGGAUAUCAAAGUGUUUUCCAAUGGUUUUAUGAUAUUAUUAUAUAUAUGUCAUAUUAGCUAAGAAGAUAGUGGUUACAUAUUGAAUGCAUAUUAAAUAUUAAACCCUAUAAAUAAGUUUAUUACAUUAAAGAUUAUUAUGUUUUAGUUUAACGAAUAUAUUAUUCGUUUUUACUAAUUUAUUUAUUUCAUAUACUAUACAAUAUUUAUUAAAGGGAUUAUAGAUUAAUGGUAGAUCAUUCGUUUUGCAUACGUAGAAUAUCGGUUCAACUCCGAUUAAU
rnacentral:rRNA from 1 species